rnacentral:rRNA from 1 species
UCGAGAAUUUUUCUCAAUGGGCGAAAGCCUGAAGGAGCGACGCCGCGUGGGGGAUGAAGGGCUUCGGCCCGUAAACCCCUGUCAUUUGCGAACAAACGUUAUGGAUGAACAAUUCAUGACUUGAUUGUAGCGAAAGAGGAAGGGACGGCUAACUCUGUGCCAGCAGCCGCGGUAAUACAGAGGUCCCAAGCGUUGUUCGGAUUCACUGGGCGUAAAGGGUGCGCAGGUGGGUUUGCAAGUUUGAUGUGAAAGCCCCGGGCUUAACCCGGGAAUGGCAUUGAAUACUGCAGAUCUGGAGGAUUGGAGGGGGGACUGGAAUUCUUGGUGUAGCAGUGAAAUGCGUAGAUAUCAAGAGGAACACCAGUGGCGAAGGCGAGUCCCUGGACAAUACCUGACACUGAGGCACGAAAGCUAGGGGAGCAAACA